CACUGUCUCUCAGUCGCGGGUCACGGGUGUCUUGAGCAGCAGCUGAAUCCACUGGUUAAGUCACUGGUCAAGUGACUGGUUUUAAACCGUAUUCUGAAACACUUCCGCGCCGCACCAUCACUGCAUUCAAAAGGCUCUAGUUGAAGUUAUACGUAUUUUUAAAGUAAUGGAGGUGCGGCACUGAAGCGUUUUAGAAGGGCCAGGGACGCGGGGAGCUGAGACGAGCGAGGUGGUGAAGAGCAAGCGAGGAAGGGAAGUUUGCAGUACUGCCUGCCGUGGAAGUGUGGGAGUGCGAGGGGGUGUAUGAGAAGCUGGCAAGAACUGGCGACGGGGAGGCGACCAGUGAGGCGUGCUUCUCCCGGCGUGAUGGCACUGGUCGCCUGCCUCGCCUGGCUUGCGUCGCCAUGGAGUGGGACGAGGCACAGUCGUGUUGAAAACAAGCUCACCAGGAUUAACCUUGAACACACACACACACACACACACACACACACACACACACACUCUCUCUCUCUCUCUCUCUCUCUCUCUCUCUCUCUCUCUCUCUCUCUCUCUCUCUCUCUCUCUC